CUGAGCCAGACUUUCCUGGCCCGUCCACAGCCGCUCUUCGUCCGCCGCACGGCUGGCGGCGUGGGACUGUUGCCCGCGUAUGCAGAUGCGAGCCGGGGUGCGCUGGCACAGUGGCUGUGGGGGCAAAAAAUAUAUAAUAUGACCUAAGCAAGUCGGAUGAAUUUGGUGUGGAAGACGGCAGAGCCCUGACUUCAACCCCAUCAAACAACUUAGAUUUUUUUCCAUUUUCACCUCACCUGUCAGUAUAAUAGUCAUGUCCAAAUACUAUACAGAGAAUCCAAACUAUUUUGCAGGCUCCUCGACUCACUUCAACAUAGUUCCUUGGCACCAAGAUGUCGCAAAAUAGCAGCAAAGUCAUAUUUUGGAUUUAGCUGGAGAACAAAAACAGCGAAUAGGUGAG